rnacentral:rRNA from 1 species
GACGAACGCUGGCGGCGUGCUUAACACAUGCAAGUCGAACGGAAAGGCCCUGCUUUUGUUGUGUGCUCGAGUGGCGAACGGGGGAGUAACACGUGAGUAACCUGCCCUUGACUUUGGGAGAACUUCAGGAAACUGGGGCUAAUACCGGAUAGGAUCUCCUGCUGCAUGGUGGGCAUUGGAAAGUUUCGGCGGUUGGGGAUGGUUUCGCGGCUUAUGAGCUUGUUGGGCGGGUAGUGGUUUACCAAGGCUUUGAGGGAUACGCGGCCUGGGAGGGUGACCGGGCACAUUGGGACUGAGAUAGGCAGCAGUCGCGUACGGGAGGCAGUAGGGGGGAACAUGGCACAAUGGGGCGAAGCCUGAUGUAGCGACGCCGCGUGCGGAAUGCCGGCUUUUUGGUUGUAAACAGCUUUCGCCUGUGACGAAGAGUGAGUGACGGUAAUGGGUAAAGAAGCACCGGCUAACUACGUG